AGUCUGGGAGGCUGGCGCAAACGCAGCGGGUGGCUGGGGUAGGGGCUCAUUGGGAGCCCACGGAGCGCGGCGGCGGCUCGGGGGCCGAGUUCCCUACAACAAGGAUGGCGGUGACGGGCGCAGGGAGCGGGGCCCGGCUCUCCUUGCCUCGAGGCUCCUCUGAUUCCACUCGCGUGGCUGCGCGGCCCUGGCAGCGGCCUUCGUCCCGGGGGUGGGAGCUACACAGGGUUCCGCCCCGUCCUGGCGAGGACGCCUGAGGGGGCUCUGUGGUAAGGCUCUGUCGGGCAGGCCGGGCUUCCGGGAGGACCUGGUCUGGAUCGGUCACCGCUGGGUGCCUGAGCUCCGCAUGGAGCCUGCAGCCUUUGUUUAACUUGUGAGUUAAGAAAAGUUAACCUUUCUUGGAGAGUUUCCAGUCUUGCCUCUGCAUCCUGUUCUUCCUUGCUAGCUCUCAUUUUCUUCACCCAUUCCGUCUAUCAAAACCUGAAAUUUUGGGGCCGGCGCAGUGGCUCACGCCUGUAAUCCCAGCACUUUGGGAGGCUGAGGCAGGCGGAUCACCUGAGGUCAGGAGUUCGAGACCAGCCUGACCAACAUGGAGAAACCCCGUCUCUACUAAAAAUACAAAAUUAGCCGGGCGUGGUGGUGGCACAUGCCUGUAAUCCCAGCUACUCGAGAGGCUGAGGCAGGAGAAUCGCUUGAACUUGGGAGGCGGAGCUUGUGGUGAGCUGGGAGAUCGCGCCACUGCACUCCAGCCUAGGUAACAGGCUCCGUCCCAAAAAAAAAAAAAAAAAAAAGUGAAAUCUCCAAAGGAUUUAAUAGAUUUAAUAGAUAAGACAAGUUAUUCAUCCUGGGCAUAAAUGAUCUCUCUCAGGAUACCUGAUUCUGUAACUAUAGCUACUCUCUAGUAAUAGAAUGAAAACUUUGGUCUCCUGCCAGUCGAGGCAUGUCGGAGGAAAACACUGGAUCUAUUUGAUGUCCUCACAUGAAAGUAAAUUCCAAACAAAGCAAAUAGUUAAAUGUUCAAAAAACAAAAAAAAAAAAAAAAAAAAAGAGAGAGGUUAUGAAAAUACCAGAAGAAAACAAGGGAAAAAAACAAAAGUAAGGUUGGAGUGGUGAGAGACUUUUCAAAGAGCAUAUAAACCAUAAAAUUAAAAAUUGAUAAAUGUAGGCCGGGCACGGUGACUCACGCGUGUAAUCCCAGCACUUGGAGAGGCUGAGGUGAGUGGAUCACCUGAGGUCAGGAGUUUGAGACCAGCCUGACCAACAUGGUGAAACCCCGUCUCUAAUAAAAAUACAAAAAUUUCACCGGUUGUGGUGGCGGGGUUCCUGUAAUCCCAGCUACUUGGGAGGCUGAGGCAGGAGAAUUACUUGAACCUGGGAGACAGAGGUUGCAGUGAGCCGAGAUCGCGCCAUUGCAGUCCAGCCUGGGCGACAGAGCAAGACUCUGUCUCUAAAUAAAUAAAUAAAAAUUGAUAAAUGUAACUACAUAGAAAUCUAAAUUUUCUGCAUAGCAAAUAAAUAUAACAAACCCCAACCAAGAAAAAUAUUUGUAAAAUGUAUGACAAAAAGUUCUAAAUUAUUAAAAAAGUUCUAAUUAUUAAAAAAAUCAGUACAAAAAUGUUCAACUCAGAGAAAAACAGGUUUCUACAGAAAAAUACAAAUGAUUUCUUAAAGUAUCAUAAAACAAAAAUAAAAUACAAUUUUUCACAAAUGCAAAGAUGAAAAGUUUGACUAUAUAUUGUUUUGAUGAGGAUAUAGGGAAACCCUUUUUUCCUCCCCUAGAGGAGGCCUCUCUAUGUUACCCACACUGGUCUUGAACUCUUGGACUUCAACUAUCCUUUUGAAUAGCAGGGUUUACGAGUGCACGUCAGCAUGCCUGGCUAAUUUAUUGUUGAUAGGAGUAUAAAUCCAUACACGCUUUGUAAAGAACAAGUGGGCAAUAGCUAUCAAUGUAAAAUUCAGCUCUUCUUUGACCCAAGAUAUUCAUAUUUUGGAAUUUAUCUUACAAAUGUAUUCUUAUAUGUACACCAAAAGAAUGUACAAAUUUGGGCAUGGUGGCUCACACCUGUAAUCCCAGCACUUUUGGAGGUCGAAGCAGGAGGAUCCCUUGAGGUUAGGAGUCCAAGACCAGCCUGGGAAGAAAAGGGAGACCCCCCUGCCUUGUCUCUACAAAAAAAAAAAAUUAAAAAUUAGCUGGGCAUGGUGGCGUGCACCUGUAGUUCCAGCCAGCUAUAAUUGCACCACUGCACUGCAGCCUGGGUGACAGAGUGAGACCCCGAUUCAAAAAAAAAAAAAAAAGAAAAAAGAAAGAACAAAUUUUAAAGGUCCCUAGGCAACUAUCUGUACACUAAAUGACAUCACUGAAAUUUACUUUAAAAUGUAGGGGUGGGGAAUGUGGGUUGAUAACUUGAAACUACCUCAUAAAUACAUUACAUUCUUUAUAUUAGCUUGUCUACUUUAGUGUAUAUGUGAACAUUUCUGUAAUAAAAAAGUUUUUUAAAAUUGAAAAUGGCCGCGCGGUGGCUCAGGCCUGUAAUUCCAGCACUCUGGGAGGCCAAGGCAGACAGAUCAUGAGGUCAGGAGAUUGAGACCGUCCUGGCUAACACGGUGAAACCCCGUCUCUACUAAAAAAAAAAAAAAAAAAAUGCUGGGCAUGAUGGUGUGCGCCUGUAGUCCCAGCUACUUGGGAGGCUGAGGCAGGAGAAUGGCGUGAAUCCAGGAGGCGGAACUUGCAAUGAGCCUGUAGCAGGAUGAGCCGCAGACAAAACUCCUCAGACUCCGAGUUGAAGGAAGGGGUUUAUCUGGCCGGGGGCAUCAGCAAGUCUCCUGUCUCAAGGGCCAAGCACCCCGAGUGAGCAAUUCCUGUCCUUUUUAAGGGCUCACAACUCUAAGGGGGUGUACGUGAGAGGGUCGUGAUCGAUUGAGCAAGCAGGGGGUACGUGAGUGGAGGCUGCAUGCACCAGUAAUUAGACCGGAACAAAACAGGAUAGGGAUUUUCACAGUGCUUUUCUAUACAGUGUCUGUAAUCUAUAGAUAACAUAACUGAUUAGGUCAGAGGUCGAUCUUUAACUACCAGGCCUAGGGUGUGGGGCCGGGCUGUCUGCUUGUGGAUUUCAUUUCUGCCUUUUAGUUUUUACUUUUUCUUUCUUUAGAGGCAGAAAUUGGGCAUAAGACAAUAUGAGGGGUGGUCUCCUGCCUUAUUCCUCCCCUUUGAGACUCUCACUCAAUAGUAGGAGUUUUCACUUUCAUUUUCUUAUCUAUGUCUUCCUGCAAGACAGAUCGAUAGUGAUUCAUUCAUAUAGUACACUUCUGCUGAAGCAUUUUGGUGAACUAAGGUAGCGAUGAAACUUUUUAUCAUUUGAAGAAGUACAGGUAGCAAACAAGGGAGCAGUAAGCAGGUUCCUAUUACUAUUAUAACUUUUAUUAUAAGAGUUUUAAAUCUUCGUAGUGCUGGGAACCAUUUUCUAAACAUGGCCUCAGGAUCAAAUCCAUGCCACACUUGUACGGGCACAUGUGUCAAUUUUGUUAUAUCUGUAACUAUGUCUUCAACUACUUGCCCUUGAUUAUCUAUGUAUAGGCAGUAAUUAGUAUGGUUAAAUUUCCUACAGACCUCACCUUCAGCUGCUAGCAAGUAGUCGAGAGCUAAUCUAUUUCGAUAGAUAGCAUUUCUCAUCUGAGUUUAUUGCCGGGCCAGAAGAGUCAAGGCUCUGCCAGUUUUAUUAGUGGUUAUUUUUAAGACAGCUUGUAACCGUAUGAUUCAGUUGAUCAUGCAAAUGGGGGUCUGGUAUCCUCACGAGCCGUCUUGUGCCUAAGUAGCAGGCCUAUAAUAUUGCAUGAUUCUCUUAGGGGGCCAUUUAUCAUGUUUUCAAUUUCUUAUAGCUAUGCUUCUCUUUUCGUGGGAAGCAUAGACAGGGAAGCCUAGGAUUUCGCCUGUUUUUAUGGGCAGUAGGAAGAAAGAUGGUUUAAUAGUGCCAGUAACACAACUACCUGCCUGCUGGUCGGGUAAUUUGGCAUAAGCUCUAUGCCUACAUAUCCAGUACAAUCUAGUGGGGGCUGUCCAGUCCCGGUGGGACUCCGGGUGGGUCCACACAGUUUGCAACUUUGGGAAUUUACUAAAUGGAUUUCUCUCUGUGUGACUUGAACUCCACCAAGUGACUGUUUUUGUGGUGCCAUUAUACACUUUCUGUCUCAGACAACUAAGUCAUCCUACGGGGUGAGUGAAUUCUCUUCCUUCUCUAGCUAUGCAAUAUUGUCCAAUAAUUGAGGCUUUUAGGACCUAGAAAUUAUCAGGGUGAUUCUUUUGAGCUGGGAAUUCAUCAGGAACUUGGUCUGUAGGUACUAAUUCUUGGGCUUCCUGUGGCCAUUGAUCUCCUAUUACAGUUUCUCCACGUACAUAACGUGAAGUGACAUUGAGAGACUGGGUUACAUGCUCGGCUAAUUGCAAAAACAAAUUUCUUGUUUUUCCUGGAAUUUCUGGUACUGGCACAUUUAGUUCAUCAUAGAAAGUUUAAAACACUGGCUUAGGAGAGCAUUUAUAAACUUCUCCUCGAACUAAGAUGUUUACUUGAGGAUCCAGUCCGGCCCCGUCGAUUCUUAAGGUCACACUCUCCUCUUUUUUCCUGCGAGGAUCAAGGGGAUUGGUUAUUACUAGCUCUAAGGGGUUACAUUGUCCCUUAGUACAGGAAGGGCCAUUUUUUCCUUUCUGAAGGUGGACUGGAUCUUUUUCAUUUUUUUUUCUAAGUGGCCUAAAUGACACAAGACCAGUAUUUAUAUUUAUUUCCACACAGUCCUAAUUUAUGACAGAUGUACUUAUUUUCUGCCAUAUAGCCUCUUUUCUAAUUAAGACAACCACACCUUAUUCCUAACUUAUUACUAUUAAUGACAGCGCAGACAUUAACUUUUAAGGUGACUUGUUUGGGCACCCCUUUUUCUUCUGUUUUAGCUAACACUUUACUCGUAUCGUUUAUGAGCCCCCACCAGUCCUCAGUCCUUAAUCUUAUUUUAAAAAUUGUGGUCAUGGGAGGCUGAGAUGGGUCAUAACACACAUCAGGUUGGUCAUUUCCUGGGCUACAUACCUUGUAUAGAAUAACAUUAUACAAACAAGUUCUUUUUAGAGUUCCAGUACACUUAUAAUAACCACAAAAUAAUAGGACCGCAGCAACUUUUUGUCCUACCUCAGUGACUUGUUGUAUACCCUGGGAAUAGUCCUCGGUCUGAGGAAGGUCAGUUGAAGUCCUUACUGUAAAAGUCUAAAUUUUAAGGAAAAUGAGUCCCGCGAUGAGUUUUCUCAUGCUUUGGCCAUGCGUGGACCAGUCAGCUUCCGGGUGUGACUGGAGCAGGGUUUGUCGUCUUCUUCAGAGUCACUUUGCAGCGGUUGGUGAAGCUGCUCCUGUCCACGUACCGUUCACAGUCUACUGAUGUUCAAGGAUGGUCUCGGAGGUUGGGCCUGCUAGAAUAAACUGAGUCUAACACGUCUACACAGUUAUGUUCCACUGGGCUCUCUGAUACCGGGAGCAAGGUGGUGGGGUUUAGGGUGUUGCGAACUUCAGUGGUUAUGUGGGGAUUUUCACAUAGGUUAAUCUAGCAUUUGUGAACUAAUGAUGUCCUUUGGUAGUCAUUAAAGUUACCACAGCAUGGGGGCCUUUAUAUUCGGGUUUUGCCUAAGGGUUAGUUUAUCUGCUUCUUGUGCUAACAGGGCCAUUUCUGCUAGGGCCCUUAGACCUGGGGGCCAGCCUUUGGAAACCCUGUAUAGUUGUUUUGAGAGAUAGGCCACUGGCCUUGGCCAGGGCCCCACAGUCUGAGUUAAAACUCUAACUGCCAUUUUUUCUCUUUCUGACACAUAAGGUGUAAAGGGUUUUGUCAGGUCAGGUAGCCCCGGGGCUGGGGCCGACAUGAGUUUUUCUUUUAACUCAUGAAAAGCUCGUUGCUGUUGGUUGUAAUAGAUGUAGUUUAUCUAAUCUACAUUUUUAUUAACUGUCACCUACCAAAAUAUUGACUCAAAUCCUGUAGCUAUUUGGUUUCAAGCUUUAAAUUGAUCUGGUAUUCCUCGUAGGACUCCAAUUGCGUCUAAAUAGACCUGAGAGUCGAAAGACCUAUAAGGGACUUCUCUCCCUUUACGAUGUCUUAUUUUUUUUUCCUUCUGGUUGAUGAAAUGCCAGGGUGAAAGGGAUAGUCAAAUGGACUAAAAUACAAGUGCCGCUCCAGUUAUUCGGCAGAGUGCCUACUAAAGGUCCACCACAAUACUACCACACAUCCGCUCGGGGGUGAACAAGGGCUGAGUGAUUGAUAAGCUCUUGAAAAUUCUUAAGCUCACUGCAUCCUUUCAGGUCUCCAAGGAACGCUAAGUUUCCUACUUGUCGUGAGAGAGACACAGUGAACUUAGUGUUGGGAGAUGGAGGCUGGAUGGCCUUCAAGGGCUGACCCACAGGGUGCUGGACUUUGGGAUAUAGCAGAGAGAGCUUGGCACGACUUAUUACUUCAGGCUGUAGAAUCCUGGAAAAGGGCUACCAUGCAGCCUACACCUGGUUGACUGGACGACCACUUUAGUGGAAAGGAGACAGUCUGGGCCUCUGGCCUGCCAUGUGCACAAGCAUAACAAUUAUUUUUGUUUAACAUGCAGAUGGAAUAUUUGAUCCCUUUUAACCAGGCAUUUGCACCUUGGUAUCUUGUCUUAAUUGCUAAAGUUUAAGUCUUUAACUUCUAUGAUCCUCUAGUAAAAUGAAUGUAUGGUUUUAGGAAAUUGCAAAAACCUGUUGGGGCAGUCCAUCCUUGCUCUUUACUGGUCCACAGAACGUUGGACCAACUAUGGCAUGAAAGGUCUACAUGGGGGGGCAAGACUCCUGGUUGACACUGGGGUCUUUAUAGACAUCUCCCUGGAUUAAAUGGUCCUAGUUUACUAAUGCCCAGUCUGAGGAGAGUCAGGCGGGACAGAAGUACUUUUCUGAAGUAGAAAGCUGUCUUUGACUUGGCAAGUCCCCACAGGGUAUAACAAGGCAAGCAUUAAAUGCAAUAGUUUGAGGUGAAAUUGACUUGGUUGUUAAUAACUGGAUGGUCAGCAAUAGAACGAGGAAAGAAGAAAGAGUAAUAGACUAGAUAAAAAGAGUUAAAUUUUUCUUAGGUUUAGUUUGGUAGGGUUUUCCCCUGGGACUAUGGCCCACAACUCUGGAGGGGGUGGCACUUUCUUGACUCGGGUGUGAUGAGUCCAUCCUUUUUUUUUUUUUUUUGCUGUACGAAUAGCAGUCUUGGUGGUUAGCAGCAGAAGGUAGGGUCCUUCCCAGGCUGGCUUGAGUUUUUCUUCUUUCCACCUUUUGAUGAGAACAUGAUCUUCAGGCUGAUGGUGCUGGUUUACCAGAAAUUCUAGGGGUGGUACAUGUGCUAAAAGACUUUUAGUUUUUGAGAGAAAGGAAAGUGGAAGAUAAACCAAGUAUAUAAUUUUUAAGAAAUUGAUAUUUUGUUUCAAAUGUGGGGACUUUGGCAGUGGACUUUAUAGUCCUUAGUGCCUUUUUACUGAGAAAUUUCCUUUAGCACCUAUUUUUAUUAGUUUUUAAACCAAAGAAGCCAAAUACCAUUUUACAUUUAACAAUGCUUCUUGUAUGAUUUUUAUACCAGAUAAGCUAAAUUUUAUCUUUAUAUUAGUGUGUUAUUAAUAUUAAAUGUAAUUUUAAUAAAAGCUUGUAGACAUAUUUAUCUAAUUUUUAAUGUUUGACCAUAAAGUAAGAUUUUAUAGACUCUUUUUAACCUUUUAUAACUUUUGCUAAAGAGCAGGUUGGUGCUUUAAGAAAAACCUAUUAUGCUUUUACUUUAAUGUCCAGUUCACAGAAAAACUCGAUGAUACUUCUUUAACUUUAGCUAAUAUGUUUACACACAGAAUUUUCUUUACAAUUAACGUUUUAAAACUUGCUUAAACUUUCAAAACAAUAGUUUUUUUUUAAACUUUUUAAUGUAGGUAAGAAUGUACAUUCUUAUGCCCCCUUAUAAUCCUUUUACCAAAGGUAUAGUAUACUUUUCUUAUACACCUUGCACAUAAACUGUUUUUUUUUUUAAUAGUUUUACAUUCAGGAGGACUAGUUACUUUUAAAUUAUACAACAUUUUUUACAUAAAUUCUUUUUAUAACAUUUUUCUCUUUCAUGACUUUCACAGACAAUUCUUCGACAUGCCUUAACUUUCUGACUUAUUACAAAUAUUUCUUUCUUUAAACAACCAAUUAAUUUAUUUCAGGACAAGAAUUUACCAUAUAAUACUCUUUUUAUAUAAAUUCUGCCCUGCCUUUUUUUUUCCUUAGGAUACUUUUGAACUGGUGAGGUGUGCUCACAAUGACCUUUCCUCUAAAAGUUAUUUUUUUUACUUUUUUUUUUUGUUGUUGUUAGCAAAGCAGUUGCCGCUACAGAUUGAAUGCAUUUGGGCCAUCCACGGGUUACUGGGUUAAGGAUUUUUGAUAGGAAGGCCUCAGUGUUUUGGGAUACGCCCUUGUUUACACUGACAACAAAGUGGUAUUGGAGUGUUAUAGGGUUACAGAUAAUACCUUCAAUUAUCAAUUAUAGGUUUUAAAUUUACCUUGGCUUUUAAAGGGAUAGGGUACACCUUUUUUUUUUUUAACUGCUUGUAUAUCUCUCUUUCUCUCUCUGACUUUGUCUCUCUCUCUUUGACUUUCUUUUUGACUCUGUCUCUUUUUCUCUUUUUCUCUCUCUCUCUGCCUCUCUCUUUCUUUCUCUCUCUCUCUGCCUCUCUCUUUCUUUCUCUCUCUCUCUCUCUCCUUGACUUCCUCUUUGUCUGUCUCUUCCUCUCUGUCUCUUCCUCUUUCUCUUUGCCUCUUUUCCUCUCUGUCUCUUUCCUUUAUCUCUCUCUGCUGGUCUUUCCUUGCCUCUGCCAGCUGCUUAUGCUGCUGUUCUUUCAACCACUGUGUGUUGGGGGCAUGGGAUCUAAAACUAGCUGUAACCAAGUGUCUAUGUACGGGAACUGGUCUGGGUUCCCAGGCUUACAGGUUAUCUUGUGCCAUACCUUUGAAACAAGGGACUUACUUGUCCAGGCUUCCUUCUAAUGGCCAACCUACCUCUAAUGCUGGCCAGUCUGUCUUACACAAAGUUUUAAGUUUUCCUGGUGUCACAGUACUCCAUAGUCUCUUUUAAAUUCUUUUUUGAAAAUUUUCAACUUAUCUCCUAGUAGGGUGGGCUUAUUGGUGCCUGACCUAUGCUUCUUCGAGACAAAACACCACACUUACACCACACACACACCAUAAAACAAAGAACGGGUAAAAAGGGCACACACACACCUUUGCAAUUUGCACCAAACCAAAAUCAAAACUAAAAUCAGAGUAUCCAGAAAUCCAAGCCAGGUCAAAAUCAAAACCAAAGUAUCAAGCAAUCCAAAUCAAGUUAAUAACAAAAACCAAAGUGCCGGUACGAGCACACCGUGGGUGAUCAGGCCAUGCUUCCACUCAAAUGGAGUAGGCAAGUUCCUAAGACCAAUCCUGUCAAGCAAUUCAAACCAAGUCAAAACCAAAACCAAAGUGCCGAUAAAGGCAUGCCAUGGGUGAUCAGGCCACGCUUCCACUCAAACGGAGUGCGCAAGUUUCAAAGACUAGUCUUAACAAGUUUUAGAUGUCCAGACUCCAAGUGCCUGUUCCUUCCCAGUGUUCAGCCACUGCGUUGAUCCUCCAUGGGGGCCUGCCACACACUGCUCUGGUGAGGCAUCCCACCGGGCAAGUGCCUACCUGGGAGCGCUCUCAGGAUCCGCUCGGGCUGGUCGGAGUCCCCCGCAGGGAUGUUCCACAGGGCAGGCUUAAGCCGCCUAAGGAGCUGCCUCGACCAUCUGCCAAUCACCUCGCUUCCCGGUCAGGGAACCGAGAAAUGUAGCAGGACCAGCCGCAGACAAAACUCCUCAGACACCGAGUUAAAGAAGGAAGGGGCUUAUUCAGCCGGGGGCAUAGGCAAGACUCCUUUCUUAAGGGCCAAGCUCCCCGAGUGAGCAAUUCUUGUCUUUUUUAAGGGCUCACAACUCUUAAGGGGGUGCGCGGUCGUGAUCAAUUGAGCAAGCAGGGGGUAUGUAACUGGGGGCUGCAUGCACUGGUAAUUAGAUCGGAACAAAACAGGAUAGGGAUUUUCACAGUGCUUUACUAUACAGUGUCUGUAAUCUAUAGAUAACAUAACCGAUUAGGUCAGGGGUCGAUCUUUAACUACCAGGCCUAGGGUGUGGGGCCGGGCUGUCUGCUUGUGGAUUUCAUUUCUGCCUUUUAGUUUUUACCUUUUUUUCUUUGGAGGCAGAAAUUGGGCAUAAGACAAUAUGAGGGGUGGUCUCCUCCCCUAAGCUGAGAUCGUGCCACUGCACUCCAGCCUGGGCGACAGACUGAGACUCCGUCUCAAAAAAAAAAAAAAAAAUUGAAAACAGACGAAUGUACAAGGGGAGUCAUUGCAGUUUUGUUUUUAGGAACUGAGAAGGUUUAUUUAUCCAGGAUAUUGUUUAAGUAAAUUACGGUUUCUACCAGGAAUACUCUGCAGCUGUUAAAUAAGAAUAGCCAAUAAGUAUAUGAAAAAAUGCUCAACAUCACUAAUCAUUAGGGAAAUGCAAAUCAAAACCAUGGUGAGAUAUACCCCUUACCCUUUCAGAUGGCUACUAUCAAAAAAACAGAAAAUAAUGUUAGCAAGGAUGUGGAGAAAUUGGAACCCUUGUGCACUGUUGGAGGGAAUGUAAAAUGGUGCAGCUCCUGUGGAAAGCAGUAAGGCAGUUCUUUAAAAAAUUCAAGAUACAGUUGCCAUGUGAUCUAGCAAUUCCACUUCUGGAUCUAUAUCCCAAAGAAGUGAAAGCAAGGUCUUGAAGAGAUAUUUGCAUGUGCACAUUCAUAGUAGCAUUAUUCACAAUAGAUGAAAGGUGGAAACCACCCAAAUGUCCAGAAAUGGAUAAAUGGAUAAAUAAAGUGUGGUACAUUCAUACAAUGGAAUAUUUAUCUAUUCACCCUUAAAAAGGAAAUUCUGGCUGGGCAAGGUGGCUCAUGCCUGUAACACCAGCACUUUGGGAGGCCAAGGCAGACAGAUCACCUGAGGUCAGGAGUUCGAGACCAGCCUGGCCAACAUGGUAAAACCCCAUCUCUACUGAAAAUACAAAAAUUAGCUGGGCAUGGUGGCGGGCGCCUAUAGUCCAAGCUACUCCGGAGGCUGAGGCAGGAGAAUCACUUGAACCCAGUAGGUGGAGGUUGCAGUGAGCCAAGAUCAUGCCAUUGCAGUCCAGUCUGGGCAACAAGAGCAAGACUCCAUCUCAAAAAAAAAAAAAAAAAAAAAAAAGGAAGGAAAUUCUGACUUAUGCUGCAAAAUGGAUCAACCUUGAGAACGUUACACUAAGUGAAAGAAGCAAAUCAUAAAAAGGACAAAUACUGGGCCAGGUGCAGUGACUCACACCCUGUAAUCCCAGCACUUUGGGAGGCUGAGGCGGGCAGAUCACGAGGUCAGGAGAUUGAGACCAUCCUGGCUAACACGGUGAAGCCCUGUGUCUACUAAAAAUACAAAAAAAAUUAGCUGGGUAUGGUGGCGGGUGCCUGUAGUCCCAGCUACUCGGGAGGCUGAGGCAGGAGAAUGGUGUGAACCCGGGAGGUGGAGCUUGGAGGGAGCUGAGAUUGCGCCAGUGCACUCUAGCCUGGGCGAUAGAGCAAGACUCCGUCUCAAAAAAAAAAAGCUAACUUGAAAAGAAAAUUGAAGUCCCUAUAAUCCUACUUCCUAGAUAGAAUCAGUGAUCUUGCACUUUUAGUGUUAUUUUCUGUCAAUCAUAGUUAUAUGUAUCCCAAUGUAAUACAUAUAUUACUUAACAUGAAAAAUUUUAAGCACCUAGAAAUUUAAAGGAAAUAUGCUCAUCUAUGAAUAUUAUAAAGCCACUAUCUAGAUUUAGCAGUUAAUAUUUUGCAGUGUUUAAAUUUUUUUCACUGUAGUUUGAAGUAAAUUACUUUAAACUUUUCACCCCUAAAUACUUUAGAAUGCAUCUUUUUUAAAGAAUGAAUUCUUUCACAAUAUAAUCACACAAUUUUCACACCUAACACAAGUAACUGUGCUUUCUAAAUGUUGUCUAAUAACCAGACUAUAUUCACCUUUCCCUUUUUGACCCCAAAAAAUGUCUUUGAGAGCUGGUUUGUUUAAAUAGGGUUCUAAUUAAGGAGCAUAGGUUGCAUUUCAUUGUUUGUCUCUAAGCUUUUUAAAAAUCAAGUGUAGUACCUGGCCCCCCCCCUUUUUUUUCUUGACUUUGAACUUAUUGGAGAGACCUAGCCAGUUGACUUACAGAAGUUGGGUCAAUGUUCUCACUUUCUGUAUUUAUCUGAUUGUUUCCUCAUGGUGUCCUUUAACUGUAUUCUCUUUUAUUUCCAGUAAAGCAGAAUUUUAGGCUUGAACACAAUUACAUUAAACAUGUUGGACAACAAUUCUUCACCGUUGAUACAAUUUUCUUUCUUUCUUUCUUUCUUUCUUUCUUUCUUUCUUUCUUUCUUUCUUUCUUUCUUUCUUUCUUUCUUUUCUUUCUUUCUUUCUUAUGGAGUUUCACUCUUGUCACCCAGGCUGGAGUGCAGUGGCACGAUCUCGACUCACUGCAACCUCCGCCUCCUGGGUUCAAGUGAUUCUCCUUCCUCAGCCUCCCACGUAGCUGGGAUUACAGGCGCUUGCCACCAUGCCCAGAAAGUUUUUGUAUUUUUAGUAGAGAUGGGGUUUCACCAUAUUGGCCGGGCUGGUCUCGAACUCCUGACCUUAGGUGAUCCACCCACCUCUGCCUCCCAAAGUGCUGGGAUUACAGGCAUGAGCCACCACGCCCAGCCUGAUGCCAUUUUCUUCACAUAGUAUCUAGUGUACCCACUAUUAGAGAUUCUAAGAUUAUAGGGUUAACUAUCCAUUUAUCAUCCUGCCACUGGAAAGUAUUCUAUGGGUUGAAACACUGAGAUCUUUGAAAUCUUUCCCUUAAUGGUUUUAGCAUGCAGUAAUGAUUCUUUCUCACAUCAGUUACUUAAUUAGAAGUUGCAAAAUGGUGAUUAAAUUAUCUUCUUUUUUCUACAUUUAUUAACUGUCAUUCUUACCUCUAAAGAACUUUCCCUCAUCCACUGGGGUUAUUUUGUAUCUAAAACUUAGUUCCACUGCAGAGAAAGAAUACAUUAUUCUUUAUUUACCUUUAAUUACCAAGUUUUAGAAUAAGAACUUGAAUAACAGCCACCCCCAUCAGUGAUGAAUAAGAUGGUUUGUUUUCAUCUUUAUUGAGUAUGAUUAUGGACUCAAUAAUUUUUAUGCUUUAAAUGUCUUCUAGUCAAUUAUGGUUCAUUACUCUUAUUGAUGCUCAAACUGUCAAAAUGUUCCAGAUUUGGCCAAGGGGAGUCCUUUCUGUUGGCUCCUGGGACCUUUUCAUAUGACUCCAUUAGUCUUUUAAAUGACUCUUUUCGUCUUUUGGAGUUUUAAUAUAACUUCAUUAGUCCUGGUUCACUUUGUACAUUCCUUACCCCAGACCUGAAAUAAGCAUCUCUCAAGCCUCCUGAUUCCUUUUACUAUGGAAUUAUAUUUACACAUUUAUGAUUGUUACGUCUUCUUGUUGAAUUGACCCUUUAAUAAUUAUGUAAUAUCCUUCUUUAUUCAUGGUAAUCAUCUUUGUUUGAAGUCUACUUUGAUAUUAAUAUAGACACUCUCAUUUCCUUUUUCUUUUGCUUAUUUUUUUAGAUACAGGGUCUCAUUCUGUUUCCCAGGCUGGAGUGCAGUGGUGUGAUCAUAGCUUGCUGUAACCUCAAACUACUGAGCUCAAGCGAUCCUCCCACCUCAGCCUCCCAAGUAGCUAGGGUACAUUAUACCAUGCAUGCCACCAUGCUGGGCUAUUUAAAUUUUUUUUUUUCAUUUGUAGAGAAGGGAUCUCAUUCUGUUGCCCAGGCUGGUCUGGAACUCCUAGCCUCAAGAAAUCUUCCUGCCUUGGCCUCCCAAAGUGCUAGAAUUACAGGUGUAAGCCACCACACCCAGCCUAAUUUCCUUUGAUUAGUAUUUGCAUUUUUCCAUUCUUUUAAUUUUAUUUUUCUAUAUAUAUAUUUUUGAUAUGAAGUCUCACUCUGUCACCCAGGCUGGAGUGCAGUGGCACGAUCUCAGCUCAGUGCAACCUCCACCUCCAAGGUUCAAGCCAUUCUCCUGCCUCAGCCUCCCAAGUAGCUGGGACUACAGGUGCGUGCCAUUAUGCCUGGCGAAUUUUUUGUAUUUUUAGUAGCGACAGGGUUUCACCGUGUUAGCCAGGAUGAUCUUGGUCUACUGACCUCGUGAUCUGCCUGCCUCAACCCCCCAAAGUGGUGGGAUUACAGGUGUGAGCCACCAAGAACAGCCCAUUCUUUUAAUUUUAAUCAACUAAGUCUUUAUAUUGAAAGUGAUUUUAUUAUAAAUAGCAUGUACUUGGGUCUUGUCUGUUUAAUGUAGUCUGACAAUCUCUGCCUUACAGUUGGUAUAUUUAGACCAUUUACAUUUAAUAUAAUUAUUGAUUUGGUAGGAUUUAGGUCUACCAUUUCUAAUCUGUCUUCAAGUUCACAAACUGCUAUCAUCAUCUGCAUUCUGCUAUUUAGCCCAUCGAGUGAAUUUUUGAAAACUAUUAAUAAUACAUUUUAUUGUUUGAACAAUUUCAGCUUAUCAGAAAAGUGAGCACACAGAAGAGAAUUCCCAUAAGCCCUCUUACCCCAAACCCUCCCACCCCCCAGUUUCCCUUAUUAUUAACAUCUUGCAUUAGUAUAGUAGUACAUUUGUUAUAACUGAUGAGCCAUUAUUAAAACUUUAUUAACAAUAGUCCUUUUGGAUUACAUUAGAGUUCAUUCUUGGUGUUGUAUAGUCUAUGGGUUUUGACAAAUGUAUAAUGACAUGUAUUCAUCAUUAUAGAAUCAAACAGAAUAGUUUCACUACCCUAAAAAUCAGCUGUUCUCCACUAUUUAUCCACCCUCCCCGCCCCCAACUCCUAACUCCUGGCAACCACUGAACUUCUUACUGUCUCUAUGGUUUUGCCUUUUUCAGAAUAUAUAUAUCAUAUAUAAAGAACUAUAUUUUUUGCAAAGAUUUUUUUCCCAUUUAAUGGCUUACCUUUUCAUUCUCUUAACAGUGUCCUUUGUGAGCAGAAAAAUUUAAUUUUAGUGAAGUCCAACUUACCAGUUUUUUCUUUUAUGAGUCGUGUUUUUGAUGUUAUAUCUAAAAAGUCAUCACCAAAUCCAAGGUCACCUGAGUUUUCUCCUAUGUUAUCUUCUAGGAAUUCUGUAGUGUUGCAUUUUACAUUUAGGUCUAUGAUCCAUUUUGAGUUAAUUUUUGUGAAAGGAGUGAGAUCUGUGUCUAGAUAAGAUAUACUUAGGCAGGCCCAGUGGCUCAUGCCUGUAAUCCCAGCACUUUGGGAGGCCAAGGUGGGCAGAUCACCUGAGGCCAGGAGUUCGAGACCAGCAUGACCAACAUGGUGAAACCCCAUCUCCACUAAAAAUACAAAAAGUUAGCUGGGCUUAGUGGCAGAGGCCUGUAAUCCCAGCUACUCGGGAGGCUGAGGGAGGAUAAUCACUUGAACCCAGGAGGCAGAGGCUGCAGUGAGCUGAGAUUGCACCAUUGCACUCUAGCCUGGGCAACAAGAGCGAAACUCCACCUUAGAAAAAAAAAAAAAAGAUAUACCUCGACGUAGCAUUUUUGUUAUUUAUCCUAUACGGUGUUUUUUGAGCUUCCUGGAUCUGUUCCUUUAUGUCUACCUUAGUUCAUUUGGGCUGCUGUGACAAAAAUAUCAUAAACUGGAGAGUUUAUAAACAACAGAAAUUUAUUUCUCACAGUUCUAGGGGCUGUGAUGUCCAAGACCAAGGCACUUAGCCGUGUCUGGUGAGGCCCUGCUUCCUCAUAGAUGACACAUUCUGGCUUUGUCCUCACAUGGUGUCAGGGGCUAGCUAAUUCCCUGGGGCUUCUUUCAUAAGUGCAUUAAUCUCUGUCCUGAGGAUAGAGCCCUCAUAACCUGAUUGACUCCCAAAAGCCCCACCUCAGUACUAUCAUAUUGAGGAUUAAGUUUCAAUAUAACUUUUGAGGAGACACAAACAUUCAGACCAUAGCGUUAUCUAUCAUUAAUUUGGGGAAAUUUUCAGUCACUGUUGCUUCAGAUGUUUCUUCUGUUUCUUUCUCUUUCUCUUUUUUUCUUUUUUUUUUUUUUUUUUUUUGAGACGGAGUCUUGCACUGUUGCCCAGGCUGGAGUGCAGUGGCAUGAUCUCAGCUCACUGCAAGCUCUGCCUCCCAGGUUCACACCAUUCUUCUGCCUCAGUCUCCCAAGUAGCUGGGACUACAGGCACCUGCCACCAUGCCCCGCUAAUUUUUUGUAUUUUUAGUAGAGACAGGGUUUCACCGUGUUAGCCAGGAUGGUCUCAAUCUCCUGACUUUGUGAUCUGCCCGCCUCGGCCUCCCAAAGUGCUGGGAUUAUAGGCCUGAGCCACCAUGCCCAGCUUUCUUUCUCUUUUUCUUCUCUUUCUGGUAUUUCCAAAAAGUCUCCACGUUCCACCUUUUGUAAUUGUCUCACAGUUCUUGACUCUUGUUCUGUUUUUUCUUUUUCAUUCUUUUUUCUCAUUGUGUGUCCGCUUUUGAAGUAUCUAUUGACAUCUCUUCGAGCUCACUGAUUCUUUCAUUGGCCAUAUCCAUUCUUUUGAUGAACCCAUCAAAGGCAUUCUUCAUUUCUGUUAUGGUGUUUUUUAUUUCUAGUAUUUCAUUUUUAUUUCUUCUUAGUGUUUUUAUCUCUUUGCUUACAUUACCCAUCUGUUCUUGCAUGUUAUGCCGUUUUUACAUUAGAGCCCCUAGCAUGUUAAUCUUAGUUAUUUUAAAUUCCUGGUUGGAUACUUCCAAUAUUUCUUUCAUAUCUGAGUCUGGUUCUGAUGCUUCCUCUGUCUCUUCAAAGUGUGGGGUUUCUUGUCUUUUAGUAUGCUUUGUAAUUUUUUGUUUGAGGCUGUAUAUGAU
rnacentral:lncRNA from 1 species